rnacentral:rRNA from 1 species
AUUCCAGCUCCAAUAGCGUAUAUUAAAGUUGUUGCAGUUAAAAAGCUCGUAGUUGGAGUUCAGGGUGAGCUCAGCUGGUCGGCCUAAUGGGUCAGAACUGGUUGACUCUCCCUUGGUUGUGGAUCCCUCCGGAGUUAAUUCUUCGGGUGUGGAGUCCACAUCGUUUACCUUGAAAAAAUUAGAGUGUUCAAAGCAGGCGUUUGCUUGAAUAUAUUAGCAUGGAAUAAUGGAAUAGGACGCUGGUUCUAUUUUGUUGGUUUGUGCACCAUGGUAAUGAUUAAUAGGGACAGUUGGGGGUAUUCGUAUUCCAUUGUCAGAGGUGAAAUUCUUGGAUUUAUUGAAGACGAACUACUGCGAAAGCAUUCAUCAAGGAUGUUUUCAUUA